GAUUCUAAUUCUCAAAAUUCCAUCUGCCACUCCCAUAUCUUUCAUAGCAAAUUUGCUAGAAAGAAAUUCUUUUGUGGCUUUGACUUGUUCUAGAUUUGUACCAAAAAUCAACUAUGUUAUCAACGUAUAUGUGUUUAUUAUUUAUAGAGAGAAACAGUUUGAAUUACUUUGAAACUCAAAUAUGUGAUACGAUUGGUAGAAUGACUAUCAAGUUCUACUAAACAUGACUAAUAUAACCUAAAACCAAAAUUUCAAUAUUUCUCCUAUAAAUUGACUAAUUGAAUACAUAAUAAUAGUAUAGAAAACAAAGAAAAUGAAAUUACAUACUUUGGACUGCAUAUGAAAGCUACCACGUACCUCCUAAGUAGGAGGAUCAAGUCCACGUAGCUCUACAAAUUCUAUUAGAAAUUUGACAAAACUUCUCAACUCAAUUCAACUCAACUCA
rnacentral:misc_RNA from 1 species